UACGUAGGGUGCGAGCGUUGUCCGGAAUUAUUGGGCGUAAAGCGCGUGUAGGCGGCUUUUGCAAGUCGGGUGUGAAAGCCCCUCAGCUCAACUGAGGAAGUGCGCCCGAAACUGCAGAGCUUGAGUGCCGGAGAGGGUGGCGGAAUUCCCCCAAGUAGAGGUGAAAUUCGUAGAUAUGGGGGAGGAACACCGGUGGCGAAGGCGGUCUGCUGGGGUAAUGCUGACACUGAGGCGCGACAGCGUGGGGAGCAAACAGG
rnacentral:rRNA from 1 species